GGAGAGAUGCCCGAGUGGUUGAUGGGGGCGGUCUCGAAAACCGUUGUGCUGGGUAACUGGCACCCAGGGUUCGAAUCCCUGUCUCUCCG
rnacentral:tRNA from 1 species